UAGGGGGAAGAUCAACACUGUUGCAAUCAAUCUUCUGGAGUUUGAUUUAGCAGGUCUAGUAAAGUCCUGCUAAAGCAAACACAAAGAGCACUCCCAUUGUCUGCCAGUAUUCCUGCUCCUGCAAGGAGUAACGGAAACCAACCAAGCGCAUUUGCUCUUGUCGGUCUCAAGCUGUGGGGACAGCGGAGAAACUCAAAUUAAGGUAUGUCAACUCCAGCUACAUAAUUAACGUUCCCCUUUAGUGUAGGCCUAGCCUCAGGAGUAGUGGGUUUAAUUGCAGCUUUUGGAGGGGAGUGUUCUCUAGAGCAAGGGCUCUCAAACUUCACUGCACUGCAACCCACUUCUGAUGACUGAAUUUACUGCCUGACCCCAGGAGGGGAGAGGGGACUGAAGUCUGAGCCUACCUGAUUCCCACUGCCUCGGGCAGGGAAGGGGUCAAAGCCAAAGACCAAGGGCUUCAGCCCCAGCCAGGGGGCCUGUAACCAGUUACCUGCUACCCAGGGCUGUCCCCCUCUGGUUUCAGCUUUAGUCCUGAGCCCCAGAAAAUCUAAGCCAGUCCUGGCAACCCCAUUAAAACACUAUGAUCCACUUUGGGGCCCCAAUCCACAGUCUGAAAACCACUACUCCAGUUUCAUGUUUCCUUCUGCUCUCAUACCUCCUCCCAAGUGCCUGCUUGUCCCCACUCUGUCUGGCUACUGCAUCCUGUCCCUCACUCUGCUCCUACUUCGGUCCCAGCUCCUUCCCCAGUAUUUCCUGCUCCUACAUUUCCCAAAGCUCUCCCCUUCCUCUUGUUUUUACUCCUCUCUGCCUUCUGACCCCUUCUGUUCUUAACUCCAGGUUCCUACCACCCUCCCUCCAAAGCUUCUCUCCUGCAUUCCUUCUCUGGCCCCUGUUCCUCACCCUUGUGCUCUCUAGUCAGGGAGCUGCCUGCCUCCUCCUUCACACUGCCUGGGUUACAGAGCAUGGGGAAGAGAAUCUGUCCUGCUUUUAAUUUCUGUGCUCAGUACAGGAGCAGCAGUUACAAGAAAGUCCUGCUAAGCCCCUGCAACCCAAGGCUGAAGCAUGCUAAAGGUCUUGAAUUGCAGGAGCAUCUGAUAAACAAGGAAUUAAGAAGAAUGGGAACCUUAUGUUCCCAAGAAAGUCUUCAGAACCUAUGGAGGAAGGCUGGAUGUUGAAGCUACAGAGGAGUGGAGGACCGCCCUGCCCGGGGUAGCGUCUUCCCUGGCUUGAUGCGUUAGCGCAUAGUGAUUGGUGAAGGUAUGGAGAGAGGACCAUGUAGCAGCUCUGCAGAUGUCCAAGACGGGAACCUGUGCCAUGAAAGUGGUAGAGGCUGCCACAGCUCUUGCGGAGUGUGCUCUAAGAGGCGGGGUCGGUACACCCACCAGGGCAUAGCACUCCUUGAUGCAAGUGAUUAUCCAGGAGGAGAUCCACUAGGAGAACAUGGGUUGGCCCCUCGCCCAUUCGGCGAUGGCCACAAAGAGUUGCGGUGGCUUCCUGAAUGGUUUUGUCCUGUCUAAAUAAAAGACUAAUGCCUUACGCAUAUCUAAAGUGUGUAAAGCCUGCUCUCCAGAUGCGUGUGGCUUGGGGUAAAAGACCAGCAAGAAAAUAUCUUGGGAGGUGUGGAAAGAAGACACCACCUCGGGCAGAAAAGUUGGAUGGGGGCAGAGCCUAACCUUAUCUUUGAAAAACACCAUGUAGGGGGGAUCCAAGGUAAGCGCCCUGAGUUCAGAUACUCGCCCGGCAGAUGUGAGUGCCACCAGGAGAGACACCUUAUAAGAUAGGUAUAGGAGGGAACACGUCGUUAACGGUUCGAACAGGGGUCCCAUAAGUUUGGAAAGGACCAGGUUUAGGUCCCAGUAGGGACGGGCUGGCAGACGUGUUGAUAGAGCCUGUCCAACCCUUUCAGAAACCUGCUGACCACUGGGUUAGCAAACAGGGUUUUCCUCCCUUCCCCCAGGUGGAAGGCCGAGAUGGCCACCAAGUGAACCUUGAUGGAGGAGGAAGAGAGGUCCUGGAGACUGAGAUCCAACAGGUAAUCCAGGAUCAGGGGGACUGUAGCCUGGCCUGGGUGCACCCCCUUCUGGGAAGCCCAGAUGCAGAACCGCUUCCACUUAGCAAGGUACGUGGUCCUACUGGAGGGUUUCCUGCUACCUAGCAAGACUUACUGAACCUGUUCUGAGCACUGAAGCUCCUCCGCCGUCAACCACGAAGCUUCCACACUGUCAAGUGCAGCAAGUGCAGGUCCAGGUGGCGGAGCCUGCCCAAGUCCUGGGAUAUCAGGUCCAGGUCUCUGUCAUGGGUUUCUCGCAUGACAGGUUGAGGAGGGUUGAGAACCAGUGUUGCCUGGGCCAUGCCGGGGCGAUUAGAAUCAGGGACAUCCUGAAUUCCCGCAUUCUGAGGAGGACCCUGUGAAUUAGCGGGAAUGGCGGGAAGGCAUACAGCAGGCUCUGUGGCCAGGGGAGGAGGAGAGCAUCUCACAGGGAACCCUGUCCCUGCCCCAUGAGGGCACUUCUUGUUCCGCCCUGUGGCGAAUAGGUCUAGAUAGGGAGACCUCCACACAUGGAAGAUAGAUUGAGCUACAUCCCACUUCAGGAACCAUUCAUGUCCUGCAAAGGAUCUGCUCAGCCUGUCCACCAGGAUGUUUUGGGAACCCGGGAGGUACGAGGCCAUCGGGUGGAUAUCCGCCCGAUGCAGAGGUCCUACAGUUGAAUCAUGUCCAAGCAUAGGCAAGGAGAAUGAGCCCUGCCCUGCUUGUUUAUAUAUGCCACCGCUAUAAGAACUGGACUAAAAAACUAUGGAAUCAAAGUCCAAGGUUCUGCUGCCAGCCUACCAGGAGCUUCAGAUGCG